AGUGAACGCUGGCGGUAGGCCUAACACAUGCAAGUCGAACGGCAGCACAGUAAGAGCUUGCUCUUACGGGUGGCGAGUGGCGGACGGGUGAGGAAUACAUCGGAAUCUACUUUUUCGUGGGGGAUAACGUAGGGAAACUUACGCUAAUACCGCAUACGACCUACGGGUGAAAGCAGGGGAUCUUCGGACCUUGCGCGAUUGAAUGAGCCGAUGUCGGAUUAGCUAGUUGGCGGGGUAAAGGCCCACCAAGGCGACGAUCCGUAGCUGGUCUGAGAGGAUGACCGGCAACAUGGGUCCUGAGAUAAGGCCCAGACUCGUACGGGAGGCAGGAGUGGGAAAUAUUGCACAGUGGGCGGAAGCCGUAGACAGCAACGCCGCGUGCGGGAUGACGGCCGUCGGGGUGUAAACCGCUGCCGCUUGUGACGAAGCGGGAGUGACGGUAAUGGGUAAAGAAGCACCGGCUAACUACGUG
rnacentral:rRNA from 1 species